rnacentral:misc_RNA from 1 species
AACGAGGCCGACCUGCGGCUGAGUUACCUGCGGAGGGAUCAUUACAAGUGACCCCGGUCUAACCACCGGGAUGUUCAUAACCCUUUGUUGUCCGACUCUGUUGCCUCCGGGGCGACCCUGCCUUCGGGCGGGGGCUCCGGGUGGACACUUCAAACUCUUGCGUAACUUUGCAGUCUGAGUAAACUUGAUUAAUAAAUUAAAACUUUUAACAAUGGAUCU